CUUCUUUCCCUGACUUCGCCCGAUGUAGCUGUUCAUUGUGUGCACAAAUAUAUUAAGUGUAGGACCUUAAAAACUUGUGGAAUUUCGUACUUUAUGUUACAGGUCCAUUACAGAGUAAACUAUAUUCUAUAGUUGCAUGAAAUGACCUAUAAAAUUCGACAUUUUCUUAUUAGAGAGGCAUUGUUACUUAGGUGUAAAACACAGUUAUAAUACGGAUCACCUCUGACCAAAAAGUGAAGACCCAGAACCGAUUGCCGUUUGAAGCCGCAAAGUGGUCAAGUCCUGAAGCGAUCCCCUCCAUCCUUCGAACAGAAGAAAGAAAUCGCGCUCACCAACCUAUUAAUAUCAGAACUGACAUCCACUGACCAUUCAUUUCUGGAGCUGGAAGCUGUGCUGGCUUGCUGUCGCAGGAAGGUACGUAGACUACACGUGUUUAACUUGUUGCUGUUGCAGGACGAUAGCAACAGAUAAAGUUAGUAAACUAAUCCCAGGAUCAGUUUCUUUAGCUCAUGUGUAGUAUAGCUAAUAGGGGGCGAGGGAGAUGCCACCAUUUGUAUUUGUAUCGGUAUUUGUUCAACUAACAAAAUCAUUUGUAUUUGUAUUCGAAUAGAAACUGGAAGUGGGUGGAGUUUAACACAGAAGCUACAUAAAAUCCCAGUACCUGAUUUUUACCAUUAUAAUCACUGGCACUGCUAUUGUUGAGAUAGUAAAGCACUAAAGUCAUGGUUUUACUAUGACAUCAAUAAUAAUUCAGUUUAACAACAGAUCAUUUGAUUUUCAAAAGCUGUAUUUAACAAACAAUGACUUAUAUGUUAUAUAGCCAUAACAGGCUUUUAUAACACUGAGGUAAACAAACAAUCAAAUCAAGUUUUAAACAUAGGCAAAAUGUUUUUAUAAAGCAAAACAUAGUUAUUCAUCCUUACUCUAAACUGCAUAGUGCAAACUGCAUGAACCCUACCACUAUCCCUACCUGAGGGAUACAUAUUGCAAGUCAAUUAUAACAGAAAAAAUGCUUUUAUAAUUGAAAAAAUAGUUCCUCAACUUCAUUAAUGAACUACUAUAUGCUAUGAACUCCUAAUGAAAUAAAAAAACUACAGAAUGUAAGGCUAACAUGUUUUGUUGUUUUUUGCUUGUUAAUACUUUUUCUCCUCUCUUUGUUGAAGUCCCACUUUACCUGUAUGUUUGAUUUGCAUAUAUUUGGAUAAAUCAAAGAAAAAAAAAACACUUCACUGGGUGGAAUACAUCUUUAGCUAUUAUGCUCCUACUCAAACUUCCCCAAGCUGUAUUUUGUGAAGACAAACUCCUGCACAUGAGUUUGGAGCAGUCUAGAGUGAUGGAGAGACAUAACAUCCCUGCUAUACUAGUGUUACGUCCCCGUUGGUCUAGGGGUACAGGGGAGUAACAAAAUGACUGAUUAUUAAAGAUUAAAGUUUAUUUACACAAUUAAUUAUCUAUACAGUGAACAAACAGGAGGGGAAACACUGGGCGGUACCAAACAAAAGAAGAUAACCAAAACAGAAAUAUAUAAGCUAUUAACAAUUCUAGAAAUGAAAGAAACUAACUAACUGAAACCCGAAAAUCUUCCGAACCUAACUAACUACACUGACUAUUCUAAACUGAACAAAAAAACAUACAAGGGUGGUACACGCCCGUAUCUAUAUAUAUAUACACAAGUGAACUAACAGUGACAGUGAAGAAAACAAACACCUACUUAAAUCCCACUCCCAAUAUAUAUACACAAAACCAGCAACCAAACCAGAGACGCAAAUCCAAACUCAAAGUCUUUUCAGAAAUACGAUCGAUUACACAAGUCAAAAUAGCACUAAGUCACAAGAGUAUUACAGAAGUGAACUAACAUUAAAAUCCAAGUCACCGGGGUGUAACUGACAAUGUUAGCUAUUUAUAGGUGUGGGUCUGUUCCUCAUUGGCCGCCAGGCAGGUCCGCAGAAGAGGAUUGGGGGGGAAACGGCGCACUCUUCCUUCUUCUUCACCAAUUGCGGAGUGACCCGUAGCAGACCUCACGGAAUAAUGAGACCGACAGAAAAAAAACAAACCUGGCACGUAACACUAGUUGCUUGGAGGAAACACUUGUUAGGGGGCAGGCCAGAUAUUGUAGAGCCACAUGAGUCAGUGCUCGGUGUGUCAUAAGCCAACAACCUGUGUCUGCAAUGUUUUAACUCUAAAAAUACCACCUUUUUUCCUACCUACUAUUGCUACGCUGGCAUCCAGCAUUUCUAGCAUUACAGCAUUGAUUUCUGCACCAGCAUCAACGGACUUUCAUAAAGAUUACGAAACCAUAUAUUUUCCUGAAAUAAGGGACACAACUGAAUCAAUUUCACUGUUUGUAUUUCUAAAUUUUGGCGCUUUUGUUACAUAGGAUAUAAGGGAAAAUGUAUCUAGGCAUAUUAAAGGAAUACUGAGUAAAGCACAAAACUUGCAUGACAAAACACAAAAUGGAAAGAAGUAGCUCAAGAAAUACAAAGUGCAACAUUUUUAAAGUAAUGACAAAUUCAGCACAUUUCAACUAUGUAAACAUACAUAGCCUAUGCACCGUCACUUUCCUUGUAUCAAUUCUUCAGAGAAUGCACUGCUUUGGUGGUUUUCUGGGACCGCAUGCACACAAGUCAGUUAUAUUUCACACAGUUGUCAUGUAGCAACUCUAUUCAGUUUAUUCAAAGUCUCAGUUUCAGUGAAAACUGUUAUCUGCACAAAGUUCUAAACCUAUCAUUUAUAUAACUACAAUGUCCACAAUUAUUUAUCCCCAACCUAAAGGCUUUAUCAACUUCAUAUCACAAUUGUGGUGAAUUUCAUGUGAUUAUAUGUACAAAAUUAGUUUCGAUAGUUUUUGAUUGGGACAUUUGUAUCAAAGUGCCGGUCAUUCAGUUCCUGAAUAGCGUGCCAGAGUGGACAGCAACACGUUCACACAUGAGUAAAAGCACCUGUUGUUUAUUGUCUGGCAGGGGGUUUUAUGAAGAAAAUGGCACAAACUGACAGUAAGAAAGAAAAUGGCACAAACUUAAUAUAUAAAUGGUAAUUAGCAAAAGAUAAAUUCCGUACAGACAUUAGGAAGAUUUUAUGCAUUCAUUCAGAGAGUAGUGAAUGUGCAGAAUAGUCACGUAGUAGAGGCAGAAACUAUGGGGAUUUUCAAGACUAGGCUUGAUACAGUGUUAUAUAGUAUCUAGUCUGUAGGUAAUCAGAGCACUAAUUUAGUCAGGAAAAUGGCAAGCAUUGUUGGGCUGAAUGGCCUGUUCUCAUCAUUAUGUUAUGUUAUUUCUUUACUACAUUUUUUUUAUUUAAAAAAUGCAGGUAUUUUAAAAACAAAUAUUUAGGGAAGUCUAGGAAGGAGGAGGAUAUAGCAUUUACGGCAUUGGGGUAGUUUUUAUUCCCAAAUAAUAUAAAUCAGUCCCAAAGCCCCAUGGUGUAGUUCUGGCCAAUUUAGUGUUAAGGGAAUCUUUCUCUCACUGUCUCUCUGCAGGUGUGUGUGUGUGUCUAUUUGAGAGAUUUGGUACUGACUUCUGAGUGAAUUGCAUCAGAGUGCAAAAGUUGGGAAGAAAAGACCUGAAUCCAAAUAAUAUUUGCCAAAUUCGAGAGGAAAAAAAAAACAUUCAAGACAACGCAUUAUUCAAGUGUUGCCAAAUAUGGUGUUUGUAUUCAGCACCAACUCUAAUAACUAAUAUGCUUUAACCUGCUUUGCCAUAAUGUCUUGAGCAUACAUGCACAUUACCAGAAACCUGGCUGCAAAGUAGGUAAUAGCAAAUUUCUGCACAGACAAAACUAGAUAAGAUAUAGCUAGUUUUAUGUAUAUUUUUGUAUGUUGUUGAAGACAAUACAGAUUUUAUUCAGGGAAGAUAUCAGCACAAUGUUGUCAACUGAAGAGCUAACUCUUCUGGUAAAUUUGUAUGUCAACAUGAUUUUAGCAUUCUAGAAAAAAUAUUAUCUUGCACACAAUGGCUCCAGCAACACCGGCAACCCUGCCCAAGAUAAGCGGGUAUAGAUAAUGGAUGGGUGGAUGUUUUAAAUGAUCAAAUUAAAGACUGAGGUAAUCAAUAGGCUCCUAGUUGUGUGACAGAGAAGGGAAAGAGAGCUAGCUUACCUUACUGCUUUUUAGCUAACAAACUAAAUAACAUGCAAUUAACUUUGUUAACUUGCUAAAACACCUACAUAUAUAGCCAAGCUGAAAUUGUGUACCAUACCUAUGUGACAGGAAACAGUUUGUCAAAUUAAAAGAAGAUGAGUCCAGCUCCUCGAUAAUGAAAUACGGUAUUCCACAAGGAUCAGUACUAGGACCAGUACUCUUCUUGCUAUAUAUGCUACCACUUGGCAAAAUUAUCCGGGCACAUGGCGUAGAGUUCCACUGUUAUGCGGACGAUACCCAGAUUUAUAUUUCAAUGAAACCUGGCGAAGCACUGCUGCUUUCACGGUUAGAGGCCUGUGUAUUGUAGAUAAAGGUUUGGAUGCUUUCAAAUUUUCUGCUCCUAAAUUCAGACAAGACUGAAAUGUUGGUUUUAGGUCCCAAAAUAUUAAGGGAGAAAUUGUCUACUCUCACCUUAAACUGUGAUGGUUGUUUGGCUGAACCUAAUAUGGUUGUUAAAGACCUUGGUGUCACCAUUGAUCUUGAUCUAUCUUUUGACACCCAUAUAAAAAACAUAUCCAGAAUUGCCUUCUUUCAGCUGCGCAACAUAGCUAAAAUUAGACAUUUCCUGUCAGUCGAGGAUGCUGAAAAAUUGAUCCAUGCGUUUGUUACGUCUAGGUUAGACUACUGUAACGCCCUGCUUUCUGGCUGCCCUAAUAACUCGUUAAAGAGUCUCCAGCUUGUGCAGAAUGCAGCUGCUCGUAUCUUGAGCAGAACUAAGAAGUAUGAGCACGUUACACCAGUACUAGCGUCACUUCACUGGCUACCCAUUAAGCAUAGGAUAGACUUCAAGGUUUUGCUCCUGACUUUUAAAGCUCUGCAUGGACGUGCACCUGUGUGCAUAUCGAACCUGCUCCUACCUUAUAAGCCCACAAGGUCACCCGAUCUCAAGACGCAGGCUACUUGGUAGUCCCAAGAAUUUCCAAGAAUCUAAAAGGUGGUAGGGCUUUCUCCUACAGGGCCCCACUACUGUGGAACCAGCUUCCAAAAUUUAUAAAGGAGUCAGACACCGUCUCAAUAUUUAAAUCUAGAUUAAAAACGCACCUCUAUGCUCAGGCUUACAAUCAGUUGUAGUCUGGAGACAGGGUGCGAGAAGCCUGUAGUCAUAGAGCUUUGUAGGUGGCAAUCCUUUCCUUACUGUCACCUGUCAAUCAGCUGUGACCCGACUUUACAUGGGCUGGCUCUUGAUAAGCGGGUAUGGUUGUCUACCCCUCAUGACUGCAUGGGCUCUCCAUCCCUGUCCUAGUAGAUAUGCAGCCAUAUUCUACUCCUGGCGGGGUCCCCCAAUACAUACCACUGGCACUUACUCACUGUCUGCUAUAUUGCAAAUUCCCUAAUUGCUGUUUCCACCCUCUUCCCCACGCUGCCGGCGGGGCUCUUGCCCCAACCCUCGAGAGUGUUUUGAGAGUCGUCUGGUCUCCCUCACCUCUGCGGUCCAGCCCCUCCUUCGUCAUUGCCUCCACCCUGCCCACAUCUGCCGCCACCUGUUGUUCCCCAUCACCGCCACCCGGCCCCACCCAUCAUCUGAGCCACAUCACAUAUCAUAUCUUCUGCAUAAACUGGCUGACAUGCUGGUCACCAGUCAGCCUGAGCCGACCAUAGGAGGAUGGGUUUCCCCCUUGAGCCUGGUUCCUUCCAAGGUUUCUCCCCAUCUGCCACAGGGAGUUUUUCCUUGCCACUGUUGCCUUAGGCUUGCUCCUGUGGGGGUUUAGGCUAGGGUUGUCUGUAAAGCGUAUUGUGACAACUGUUGUAAAAUACGCUAUAUAAAUAAAAUUUGAUUGAUUGAUUGAUUGAUUGAUAGCAUUGUUUUUAAUUAUAUUGCUAACUAGCUAGCAUUCUUCAUCGUGUUUGACUCACAUUAAUCAAACAGCCACAAGUUACCUAAUGUUAGCUUACUGCUAUUUAUGUUUUGCUACUGCUGCAAUAUGCAAUGACCUACCAACAGUGGUGCCAGCAGGAUUCUCUCCAGACUUUCUGGUCUGUGUCUUACUAAUCUUGCUUGCUAACCAAUCUCCAUCGCAGGUUUGAAAAAAUGACAGUACAUUGAAUCUGACUUAACUGAGUAGGAGGGGUAAAUCAAAUGUUGAUGUUCAGUCAUAUUAUAGUGGCACAAAUUGUUCUUGUUUAAAACUGGACACUGAUUGUAAAGAAGAUAUUUAGCCUCCUAUCAUGUGAAAUUUUGAUAUUUUUGUGCUCUGCUCUCAUAUCAACACCAAGCUACAGUAUGUCACCAAAAUGAUGAGAGUCCUGAAGAAAUGGAGGCAGCUAGACAGUUGCCUCCCUUGCACAGUGUAAUGACAGAAUGUAAUUAUGCAUCAUUGAUGAGAGAGGGUGCAAAGUAUCACAGUGCAAUUUCACUGGAGGACUGAACAAUUAAAAAUGGAAAAACGUAAUUUGCCUCUAGUGAGAUGUAAAAAUGUGCUUUUGAAGGAAUUUUAUUAAAGUUUUUAUGGAUGAUUUUUUUUGAGGUGGCGCUGCCUCCCUUGCCUGCUCGCCAAAAAUGGAUCUGGGUGUGACUACUUUAUAAACCCUAAAUCCUAAUAAACAUGGUUGUAAGCUAAUCUAAAUACUA